rnacentral:rRNA from 1 species
CCUACGGUGAGCAGCAGUGGGGAAUAUUGCACAAUGGGGGGAACCCUGAUGCAGCGACGCCGCGUGAGUGAAGAAGUAUUUCGGUAUGUAAAGCUCUAUCAGCAGGGAAGAAAAUGACGGUACCUGACUAAGAAGCCCCGGCUAACUACGUGCCAGCAGCCGCAGUAAUACGUAGGGGGCAAGCGUUAUCCGGAUUUACUGGGUGUAAAGGGAGCGCAGACGGCUGUGCAAGUCUGUAGUGAAAGGCGGGGGCCCAACCCCCAGACUGCUGUGGAAACUGUAAAGCUGGAGUGCAGGAGAGGUAAGCGGAAUUCCUAGUGUAGCGGUGAAAUGCGUAGAUAUUAGAAGGAACACCAGUGGCGAAGGCGGCUUACUGGACUGCAACUGACGUUGAGGCUCGAAAGCGUGGGGAGCAAACAGGAUUAGAUACCCCGGUAGUC